rnacentral:rRNA from 1 species
UACGUAGGGUGCGAGCGUUAAUCGGAAUUACUGGGCGUAAAGCGUGCGCAGGCGGUUCGUUAAGUCAGAUGUGAAAGCCCCGGGCUCAACCUGGGAACUGCAUUUGAAACUGGCGGGCUUGAGUGUGGCAGAGGGGGGUGGAAUUCCGCGUGUAGCAGUGAAAUGCGUAGAUAUCUGGAGGAACACCGGUGGCGAAGGCGGCAUCCUGGACCGGCAUUGACGCUGAGGCGCGAAAGCCAGGGGAGCAAACGGG